GCAGAGCUGCAGAUGGGAUUC
rnacentral:miRNA from 1 species